AUUGAACGCUGGCGGCAGGCCUAACACAUGCAAGUCGAGCGGAUGAAGGGAGCUUGCUCCUGGAUUCAGCGGCGGACGGGUGAGUAAUGCCUAGGAAUCUGCCUGGUAGUGGGGGAUAACGUCCGGAAACGGGCGCUAAUACCGCAUACGUCCUGAGGGAGAAAGUGGGGGAUCUUCGGACCUCACGCUAUCAGAUGAGCCUAGGUCGGAUUAGCUAGUUGGUGGGGUAAAGGCCUACCAAGGCGACGAUCCGUAACUGGUCUGAGAGGAUGAUCAGUCACCCUGGAACUGAGACACGGUCCAGACUCCUACGGGAGGCAGCAGUGGGGAAUAUUGGACAAUGGGCGAAAGCCUGAUCCAGCCAUGCCGCGUGUGUGAAGAAGGUCUUCGGAUUGUAAAGCACUUUAAGUUGGGAGGAAGGGCAGUAAGUUAAUACCUUGCUGUUUUGACGUUACCAACAGAAUAAGCACCGGCUAACUUCGUG
rnacentral:rRNA from 1 species